rnacentral:rRNA from 1 species
GACGAAAGCUGGCGGCGUGCUUAACACAUGCAAGUCGAACGAAGUGGCGAACGGGUGUGUAAUGCGUGGGUACCCUGUCCUCCUUUUUCGGAUAAGCCUUGGAAACGGGGUCUAAUACCGCGUAUCGUGGGAUGGGCUCGCGGCGUAUCCGCUUGUUGGUGGGGUGAUGGCCUACUAAGGCGGUGACGGGUUGCCGGCCUGAGAGGGUGCAGGGCCGCAUUGGGGCGGUGAUACGGCUCGGACUCCUGCGGGAGGCAGCGGUGGGGGAUAUUGCACAAUGGGCGAAAGCCGGAUGCAGCGACGCCGCGUGGGGGAUGACGGCGUGGGGAUUGUAAACCUGUUUCGCUAUCGAACGGGUAGGUGGAGAAGUAGCGCCGGCUAACUUCGUGCCAGCAGCCGCGGUAAUAC